rnacentral:rRNA from 1 species
UACGGAGGGGGCUAGCGUUGUUCGGAAUUACUGGGCGUAAAGCGCUCGUAGGCGGCCUUGUAAGUUAGAGGUGAAAGCCCGGGGCUCAACUCCGGAAUUGCCUUUAAGACUGCAUCGCUAGAAUUGUGGAGAGGUAAGUGGAAUUCCGAGUGUAGAGGUGAAAUUCGUAGAUAUUGGGAAGAACACCAGUGGCGAAGGCGGCUCACUGGACCGACACUGACGCUGAGGCGCGAAAGCGUGGGGAGCAAACAGG